CUGUGACAUAUCGAAGUAAGACAGGCAGUGCGGUGAAUCAGUUAGUUGUUAGUUGUUGGUCUUAAUAAUAACGACACAAAAUAAAAUAAGGAGUAACAAUCAUGUCGGAGCAAAAAUUCUCAGACGUUAAGAAUCCCCAAGGAUACCCCCCGCAGCAAGGAUACCCCCAGCAGCAAGGAUACCCCUCGCAGCAAGGAUAUGCCCCACAACAAGGAUAUGGUCAAGCGCAAUACUCAGCCGGUAGCAAUGUUAUUGUAACACAGCCACAGCCGUCAACACUCUACGUGACAAAACCCCAGGAUUAUCUGGGAUUCUCCAUCUUUGUUUGUCUGUGCUGUUGCUGUCCAAUUGGAAUCGCAUCAAUAAUUUUUUCAUGCGGGUCACGUGAUGCCUUUACUGCUGGAGAUGUGAACACUGCUCAAGCCAAGGGAUCAACAGCUCGUACUUUAAACAUUAUUGGCCUGGUGAUAGGUAUUAUUUGGAUCAUAGUAGCCAUAAUUCUCAAUUUUGUCGUUUUUACAACAACAGCAGCAACCACCAAUAAUUCUUCUCCUUAUGCAUAAUCGAGUACAAUAUAUUAUGCACUGGACACUCGGGAUUCAACGGCAGUAGUAACCACCAGUUCUUCUCCUUAUGGUUAAUCGAGUACAAUAUAUGCACUGGACACUCGUGAUUACUUGUAAAUAUUAACUAAUAAUGAUAAAGACAAAAAAUAGGGUUUACCUUUCUACUGUUCUACUCUUGACUGGGCUAUUUAAGACGCCAUACCACAGUCUGCUGUGAGGGAAAUUUUGCCAAGGUUGGGGCACUAUGGCCUACUCUUAUAUCCCUACUCUUAUUCCCAAUUCCAACUGCCAUGGGUUCUUUUAUGCGCACGCCAAUGUUUACCCUUUAUCCAUAUUUCGUCCCAUCCUAAAGACUAGACACUGUUCCUUGUCGGGCCAUCCUUCCUACACUACUGACAAGGGAAAACCGCGCCGGGAAUUCCCGAGUAACUUUGUGGGCCAAUACUGGAAGCGAACCCGAGACCUGGCUAGCGCUAGAGGCUCCCUAAUGCACGAACUUAAUUAAAUUAUCUAUGCAUUAAAAUAAAAUCUAUUUUACGGAAUGUCUUUUAUAUAACUUACGAUUUUAUCAUUAAAUAUAAUAUUGUCGUUAAAUUACGGAAUGUCUUUUAUAUAACAAAUGAUUUUAUCAUUAAAUAUAAUAUUGUUGUUAAAUUAUCUCUUUCCGUUAUUGUAUCUCAUUUUAUAACAAAUGAUUUUAUCAUUAAACAAUCUCAUUUCUUUGCCAUAAUAUUACAGUUU